rnacentral:tRNA from 1 species
AGGGUUGUGACUCAGUGGUAGAGUGCUCGCCUAGCAUGUGUGAGGCACUGAGUUCAAUUCUCAGCACCACAU